rnacentral:misc_RNA from 1 species
GGGUGGGGGUGUUGGGAGUGGGGGAAAGGGGGAGAAGAAUCCAUUCAAAAGUAAAGGGUCAUAAAACACACAAAAUGGAGCCUCUUAAUGCAAAACCAUACCUUUAAGCACUGUGUGAUUUAAGUUAAAAAGAGAGUUCAAGCAACUAGAAAAGAAGGUACAAAAAAAUUUCUAGUUAGAUAUCACUCAAAUACAACACAACCAUUUUAUAAUAUAAAGGUAUUAAAGUGU